UUACGAACAAAAUCAUGCAGAUACAAAGUAUUUGCAGGCGAUAUAGACUUAGAAAUACUGAAAAAUAUAUAUCAGGGAGAAAGGUGAACUAUUAAUGUUGUGGGAGAAGUCACGGGAACCGGAAAACGCUGGAAUAAACAUUUCUAGCACGCCGAAGUUAUGCUUUUACAGUGGAAAUAUUGUCCCGAAUGGGGUGUUUAGGGGGAAUUAUUGAACAUCGAGACUGAAUUGUGCUACCACGUGGAAAUCACGUCGCCGCUAUCAGACAAGGAGAUAAAUUUGUUUAAAUAGGUAUUGCAAAAUUCGUUCCAUCGAGACAGACAAGAGAAGCACUUAUCAGAGGAAAAUUCCAACCACGUGGUCGUUGAAGUGGAGUCAACGUUCAACUUCUCGACGUCUAAUUGCAUCAAUGGUGUGUCGAUUUGCCAGAAUCUUCAACGCUGUUCAAAGAAGUGAUGCUGAAUAGAGCAAAAGCUUAACAGAGUGGUCCGCGCAUGUCUGGAAUUGGGUAAAGAAAACCCUAUUUUAAGCAUCCACGACUAGGAAACUGAAGAAAAUGGGAAUGUCCUCAAAAAACUUACUUAAGAGGAAUUAUUUAUACGAAUAAAUUUGAACUGGGAGAUCCCAGAAUCAACAUCCUUGGAAUAUGGGGCGCCGAAUAUCAAGAAAAUACGGCCGUUUUGCGUAAUAUAGUAAACUUGGAAUGAAAAAUAUAUGACAGAGAGAAAGGUGCCCUAUUAAUGUUGUGGAGGAAGUCACGGGAACCGGACAACUCGUUUCAAUUUUAGACGAAACUAAUCACCGGCAACACAUUGAAGCUUGUAAUCCUAGAGGGGCAAAGGAUAAUGAACGACGUCUCACGGGAAGUUAUGAAACUUUUUCCAAUCAUAAUUUUACGUCAGGUUUUGCCAAUGGCAAAGCUAGUGUGAGGAUCCCUCGCGGGUUAUCUUGAAGACAGAAGGCCUUCUUCAAAUUAUGAUCCAUAUUCAGUUUGUGAAGUACUAUUUUGAAAAACUUUACACAGACCCUAAAUGGAGAAAAUAAUCUCUUACGCUUUUCUGUUCUUGAAAAAAAGAAAACGAUUUUUUCAGACACAAAGUGGGAAAAGUGGUGAGGAAGAAAUUCAGCAAUCUAGAAACAUGCGUCGAAAUCGGAGCGGUACCUACGAGGCGAAGAUGUGUAUAUUGUACAGUCAGGCAGCGGCGAAGUCAAUGAUAACCUAAUGGAACUUCUAAUAUGCAUGUAAAAUUAGAUAAUCCCUCCACAAGACGGUAAAAAACGAGAUCGUCAGGACAAUACGAAAACUCCUAGAAAAUUGAGUUGACAUCAGUAGAAAAUGAAUAGAAGAAGCUACAACGUGUUUCUGCAUAAGAAACAGGUGAGGUUAUGGGAAUUUGAAAAUUAUCCCGGUACUAUGUGUAAGUGACCAGAUGAAGAAUAUCGAAAUCUUCUAGUUCUCACUGCGGAAAAACGAUGUGAUAAACCUGAGAAACAACAACCAACUGAACCUCUAUGCAAAAUCGUAUACUAUAACAUGAAAGACAGUGAUUCUGUACUAGAAAACUAAACCUAUGCGAACCUGGAAAACGACUACAGUUGCAGGAUAUAUGUAUGUACCUUCUUGUUCACAAUAUACUAUAUUAUUUUUACGCUGAAUUAGAGAUUUCUUUUUUAAUAAAAACCGAAAAACCGAA